UACAGAGGGUGCAAACGUUGCUCGGAAUCAUUGGGCGUAAAGCGCACGUAGGCGGCUCAGCAAGCGGGGAGUGAAAGCCCUCGGCUUAACCGAGGAAGUGCUUUCCGAACUACUGAGCUUGAAUACCGGAGAGGAUCGCGGAAUUCCCGGUGUAGAGGUGAAAUUCGUAGAUAUCGGGAGGAACACCAGUGGCGAAGGCGACUACCUGGCCUGUUCUUGACGCUGAGGCGCGAAAGCUAGGGGAGCAAACGGG
rnacentral:rRNA from 1 species